rnacentral:rRNA from 1 species
UACGUAGGGCGCAAGCGUUGUCCGGAAUUAUUGGGCGCAAAGAGCUCGUAGGCGGCCUGUUGCGUCCGCUGUGAAAUCCCGGGGCUCAACCCCGGGCCUGCAGUGGAUACGGGCUGGCUAGAGGCAGGCAGGGGAGAACGGAAUUCCUGGUGUAGCGGUGAAAUGCGCAGAUAUCAGGAGGAACACCGGUGGCGAAGGCGGUUCUCUGGGCCUGUACUGACGCUGGAGGAGCGAAAGCGUGGGGAGCAAACAGG